rnacentral:rRNA from 1 species
CGCUGGCGGCGUGCCUAAUACAUGCAAGUCGAGCGGAAUGAUGAAGAAGCUUGCUUCUUCUGAUUUUAGCGGCGGACGGGUGAGUAACACGUGGGCAACCUACCUUGUAGAUUGGGAUAACUCCGGGAAACCGGGGCUAAUACCGAAUAAUCCAUUUGCUUCAUGGCGAGAUGUUGAAAGACGGUUUCGGCUGUCACUACAAGAUGGGCCCGCGGCGCAUCAGCUAGUUGGUAGGGUAAUGGCCUACCAAGGCGACGAUGCGUAGCCGACCUGAGAGGGUGAUCGGCCACACUGGGACUGAGACACGGCCCAGACUCCUACGGGAGGGCAGCAGUAGGGAAUCUUCCACAAUGGACGAAAGUCUGAUGGAGCAACGCCGCGUGAGUGAAGAAGGUUUUCGGUAUCGUAAAACUCUGUUGUAAGGGAAGAACACGUACGAGAGUAACUGCUCGUACCUUGACGGUACCUUAUUAGAAAGCCACGGCUAACUACGUG